AUGCAGUCGACGGCAGCACGGGAGCAAUCCUGGUGGCGAGUGGCGAACGGGUGAGUAAUAUAUCGGAACGUGCCCAGUCGUGGGGGAUAACGUAGAGAAAUUUACGCUAAUACCGCAUACGAUCUAAGGAUGAAAGCGGGGGACCGUAAGGCCUCGCGCGAUUGGAGCGGCUGAUAUCAGAUUAGGUUGUUGGUGAGGUAAAAGCUCACCAAGCCGACGAUCUGUAGCUGGUUUGAGAGAACGACCAGCCACACUGGGACUGAGACACGGCCCAGACUCCUACGGGAGGCAGCAGUGGGGAAUUUUGGACAAUGGGCGAAAGCCUGAUCCAGCAAUGCCGCGUGCAGGAAGAAGGCCUUCGGGUUGUAAACUGCUUUUGUACGGAACGAAAAGGUCUGCCCUAAUACGGCGGGCCCAUGACGGUACCGUAAGAAUAAGCACCGGCUAACUACGUGCCAGCAGCCGCGGUAAUACGUAGGGUGCGAGCGUUAAUCGGAAUUACUGGGCGUAAAGCGUGCGCAGGCGGUGAUGUAAGACAGUUGUGAAAUCCCCGGGCUCAACCUGGGAAUUGCGAUGGAGACUGCAAGGCUAGAAUCUGGCAGAGGGGGGUAGAAUUCCACGUGUAGCAGUGAAAUGCGUAGAGAUGUGGAGGAACACCGAUGGCGAAGGCAGCCCCCUGGGUCAAGAUUGACGCUCAUGC
rnacentral:rRNA from 1 species